rnacentral:rRNA from 1 species
AACGUAGGAGGCAAGCGUUAUCCGGAGUAACUGGGCGUAAAGGGCGGGUAGGCGGUUGUGUAAGUUGGUUCUGAAAGCUCCUGGCUAAACUGGGAGAGGUUGACCAAGACUGCAGAACUUGAGUGGAGAAGAGGUAAACGGAAUUCCGCGUGUAGUGGUGAAAUGCGUAGAGAUGCGGAAGAACACCAGUGGCGAAGGCGGUUUACUGGUCUCCAACUGACACUGAGCCGCGAAAGCAUGGGUAGCGAACGGG